UACGAAGGGGGCUAGCGUUGCUCGGAAUUACUGGGCGUAAAGGGCGCGUAGGCGGAUACUUAAGUCGGGGGUGAAAGCCCAGGGCUCAACCCUGGAAUAGCCUUCGAUACUGGGUAUCUUGAGUACGGGAGAGGUGAGUGGAACUCCGAGUGUAGAGGUGAAAUUCGUAGAUAUUCGGAAGAACACCGGUGGCGAAGGCGGCUCACUGGCCCGGUACUGACGCUGAGGUGCGAAAGCGUGGGGAGCAAACAGG
rnacentral:rRNA from 1 species